UACGUAGGGUGCGAGCGUUGCCCGGAUUUAUUGGGCGUAAAGGGCGCGUAGGCGGCCACGCACGUCCGUUGUGAAAUCGCCCGGCUCAACUGGGCGGGGUCAGCGGAUACGGUGUGGCUAGAGCAAGCUAGGGGGCAAUGGAAUUCCCGGUGUAGUGGUGGAAUGCGUAGAUAUCGGGAGGAACACCAGUGGCGAAGGCGGUUGCCUGGAGCUUUGCUGACGCUGA
rnacentral:rRNA from 1 species